UACGGAGGGUGCAAGCGUUAUCCGGAUUUACUGGGUUAAAGGGUGCGUAGGUGGGUUGGUAAGUCAGUGGUGAAAUACUUUCGCUUAACGAAGGAACUGCCAUUGAUACUAUCAAUCUUGAAUGUAGUGGAGGUAGGCGGAAUGCGUCAUGUAGCGGUGAAAUGCUUAGAUAUGACAUAGAACACCAAUUGCGAAGGCAGCUCGCUACACGAAUAAUUGACUC
rnacentral:rRNA from 1 species